rnacentral:tRNA from 1 species
AAGGGUAUAGCUCAGUGGUAGAGUGUGCACUUAGCAUGCCCAAGGUCCUGGGUUCAAUCCCCAGUCCCUCUA